CUUGGACUGAGAUUGCACGAACAGAUGGUGAUGGUGGUGGUGGCAUUCAUGAAAUUAACUGUUCUUUUCACGAGCAAAAUCUACACGCAGGUUCUUUUGAUCCAAUCUCUGGGCGUUGAUCCUUAUCUUGUUGUCAAGAACCAUCUUACUUAUAUUCAUUAAGAUCUGUAAGUAGGAGGCUUAGGCCACCCGCCUACUAAUCAAAGAGGCUGAGAGUAAAUCGGUAUUAUUAUUAGUGAAAGAGAGCAGAGUGCGUUCAGCGCAAUUGAAGUAGGGAAUUCCGAUUCACGUCCGGGCCAGCGGUUUCUCUAAAGAGAUUGAAAUUAGAUUUCAGUGACGGAGGCUUCUAAUAACUUCGGACUCUCAAUUAGGGGCAGGAUGUCAAGCAGGGGCAAGGUUUCGAAUCUUAAAGGAAAGAUUAUUAAAUGCCAAGACGAAACGCUGCAGCUAUUGCAGGAGAAACAGAUGUGGUCUGAAUUGGACAGAAGCUGACCUGAGAAGACAAAAACUAUGCAAUUCGAUCCAACCAUCUAAAUUUGAAAAGGAACUCGAGGAUCUGAAGAAGGCCUUGAAGAAUGAGGAGGAGAAUGAAUCCGUGAUAAAAGAGAUUUUUGACCGUAGGCAAGUUAGCUAUGCUGAAUAUAAGAAAUCUAUGGAUUUACAGCUGAUAAAAAUUGAGCGAAACUUAGUUGAGCUAGAGGAGAUCGUGUCUGAUGAGUCAGGAGUCAAUGAACUGUGCAAAAGACGCAUAGAGAUGGAGAAGAGACUAAAAAAUCUUGUCUUCUGUGCGGCUAUGUAUUCUACUCUCGAAUCGAAGGAGUCUAGUGGUAUCUCCCUUCUCAAAGAAGCUAAGCUUGAUCAUCCUGUUGGACAGAAUGGACAGAAAAUGCGAAGAAGGCGAGUCUCGAUAGGACCCUUUGCUUGAUAUAAAAUAUUGAAGACCUGUUUGGAGCAUGUUGGCUGUGUAGUGUACUAGGAACCAUGCAGAUAUCAGAGUUUUGUUUACUCGUUUUCUUUUACAUUUAGAAUUUUAGUUGUCUCUUAUGUUUUUGCCGCAUUGCUAGAUGUUCAAACUGUUCUUAUUUUAUCUCUACCCUUUUGACACUGCUGCGAGCAAAUAAGGA